GAUGAACGCUGGCGGCGUGCCUAAUACAUGCCAGUCGAGCGAACGGACGAGAAGCUUGCUUCUCUGAUGUUAGCGGCGGACGGGUGAGUAACACGUGGAUAACCUACCUAUAAGACUGGGAUAACUUCGGGAAACCGGAGCUAAUACCGGAUGAUAUUUUGAACCGCAUGGUUCAAAAGUGAAAGACGGUCUUGCUGUCACUUAUAGAUGGAUCCGCGCUGCAUUAGCUAGUUGGUAAGGUAACGGCUUACCAAGGCAACGAUGCAUAGCCGACCUGAGAGGGGGGUCCGCCCCAACGGAACCUGGACACGGGCCCAGCUCCUAAGGGGGGCAAGAGGAGGGAAAUUUCCGGAAUGGGCGGAAGGCUUACGGAGCAACCCCCCGGGGGGGAUGAAGGUCUUCCGAUCGGAAAACUCUUGUAUUAGGGAAAAACAGAUGGUUAAAGAACUAGGCACCUCUUUGCGGGAACUUAUUAGAAAAGCACGGCUAACUUCCUG
rnacentral:rRNA from 1 species